rnacentral:rRNA from 1 species
GCUAUUGGAGUUCGAUUAAGCCAUGCGAGUCGAGAGUCCUCGGGACUCGGCGUACCGCUCAGUAACACGUGGGUAACCUGCCCUAUGCUGGGGAAUAACCUCGGGAAACUGAGAAUAAUGCCCCAUAGCCCACUACGCCUGGAACGGUGAGUGGGUCAAAGCUCCGGCGGCAUAGGAUGGGCCUGCGCCGUAUCAGGUUGUAGGGGGUGUAAAGUACCCUCUAGCCAUCAACGCGUACGGGUGUUGGGAGACAUUGCCCGGAGAUGGAUUCUGAGACACGAAUCCAGACCCUACGGGGUGCAGCAGGCGCGAAAACUUGGCAAUGCGAGCAAUCGUGACCAGGGAACUCCAAGUGCGUAGGGUAAGACCUACGCUUUUCUUGACUCUUCAAAGGUCUUGGAAUAAGGGGAGGGUAAGGACGGUGCCAGCCGCCGCGGUAAUACCGGCGCCUCAAGUGGUAGUCGCUUUUAUUGGGCCUAAAACGUCCGUAGCCGGUCUGGUGCAUUCGUGGGUAAAUCAACCCGCUCAACGGGUUGAAUUCUGCGAGCACGGCCAGACUUGGGACCGGGAGAGGUGUGGGGUACUCUCAGGGUAGGGGUAAAAUCCUGUCAUCCUGAGAGGACCACCUGUUGCGAAGGCGCCACACUAGAACGGAUCCGACGGUCAGGGACGAAACCUAGGGGCACGAACCGGAUUAGAUACCCGGGUAGUCCUAGGUGUAAACGCUGUGGACUUGAUGUUGGGGGCGCUCCGAGCGCUCUCAGUGUCGAAGCGAAGGUGAUAAGUCCACUGCCUGGGGAGUACGGUCGCAAGGCUGAAACUUAAAGGAAUUGGCGGGGGAGCACUGC